ACUUUUUCAUGUGGAACAGCCACUGCACUUUGACCAUUGAUCUCAAUAAUGCGAUGGCCAACACGUAUACCACCCCUUUCAGCAAUGCCACCCCGAAGCAAACUGCAAAUUACACCAUUUUGCACGCUAAAACCAAGCUGAUAUUUCGUGUCCGGACGUUUGAUACGAACUUCUACAACUGGUGGCGUUUGAACAAUGGUAAUUUUGACGGCUGUCAGUGAACGAGCAUCCUUGAUAUGAUUCUGGCAUAUAUUCAAAGGCAAACCGACAAACGAGAUUCCAUUCAACGCGAUGAUGUGGUCUCCGAUGUUAAUCUUUUUACAUCUAGCUGCUGCACCUUCUGGCAACAUGUUCGCAAUCACCACCGUCGGCAACAUGCUUCCCCAUCCGGACUCAACAACUGCUACACCCAAAGGCUCGUCUUUCCGUUUCGGUAUAACAAUAUCUUUCUGAGUCUCUCUGUUAGAAAACAUUUCCAACUCAUCGCAAUAAAUUUCUUGGGAAUUCAAAACUUGCUGGUAAUCAAGCUCUUUGACAUAAGUCGGAUCGUCAAUUCCUCGAGAACGCAAAAAUUCCAUAUAUGCAACUUGAAAAGCUUGACCAAUCGACUGAGCUAUAAACUGCGCCUCUUCCGAUUCGAACACAUGACAAAUCAUCUUCGGCACUGCCAGAAUACCAUGUGAAGCAGUGAACCAAAAGUCAGGUUAAGGUGCCAGACAUUGGCGCUCAUGAAAUACCAGAAAAGGUGUUGGUCGAUAUAGACAGCAGGACGGUGGCCAUGGAAGUUGGAAUCCGCCAAGGAGUGUGUAACAACUCACCUGCCGAAUCGACUAGCCCUGAAAAUGGAUAGCGUUUGAGCGCCAGGCCCAUACCUGACCGUCUCAAUUACGCACUUUUUUUCGGAAAAGGUGUAAUGAACGUUGAGACGGGUAGGAAGGUCGCGACAGUGUUGCUUUGAAGAGUUUUGAGCGUGAGCUCGCUCGGAGCCGCUGUUGGCUGAAGUGGAGCAAGGUUCCAUGUGAACAGCAGUUGGACAUGGGUCAGUCGAUCCUAAGAAAACGGCGAAAGCUUGUUCGAAUUUGCGACAUGAAUUGUAAGACUGUGUGUGUUUAUUGUGUGUGCAGUUGUCGUAUGUUUUCGAAAGGGAAUCCGGUUGAUAUUCCGGAACCGAGUAACGGAGACAAAGAGUAGCGCUUUAAUCUCUCUGUGGGGUUGGCGUUCAACUCAAUCGCGCGGUAACGCAAGCGAACUCGGAAAAUGACCGUCGUGAGUUUCGAAAAGAGUUUUCUUUUCUUUUUAAGGGACGCAUUCCCUGGAACCGGGUUGUCCGGAGAUAGGGAUUCUGGUAUCCAUAAAACGCCGACUUUUUCACGGUGUUCGGAGCGCUCUCGUCGGUACGUGAAAAUCCGAGCGACGCCUGGUAAAUCUCGUACUUGGUCGUACUGAUAUCCGCAGCAGGUCUCCAAGGUGAAUAGCCUCUGGCCGAUAGAAUAAUGUAGGUAAGGGAAGUCGGCAAAACGGAUCCGUAACUUCGGAACAAGGAUUGGCUCUAAGGGCUGGGCCGAUCGGGCUGAGGUUUCAAGCGUGCAGUGUAUGCUUGGCUGAGUUGUGUUGAGGACUUGUUCACUUGCCGCCGUUUGUUCGGUUGGUCUAGUGUAUUCGAGUCUGAAGCAGAGCUGGCCGACAGACCGGCACGUGCAGAACCUGAGCUGCGCGGCUGUCCGUUUACGUGUACAGACCGUUUCGGUCGGCAUUCAACAGCCAACUUAGAACUGGCACGGACACAAGGAAUCUGACUGUAUAAUUAAAACAAAGCAUUGCGAUGGCCGAUGAUCGGUGAUGACGCAAUGUGAUUUCUGCCCAGUGCUCUGAAUGUCAAAGUGAAGAAAUUCAAUCAAGCGCGGGUAAACGGCGGGAGUAACUAUGACUCUCUUAAGGUAGCCAAAUGCCUCGUCAUCUAAUUAGUGACGCGUAUGAAUGGAUCAACAAGAUUCCUUCUGUCCCUAUCUACUAUCUAGCGAAACCACAGCCAAGGGAACGGGCUUGGCAAAAUCAGCGGGGAAAGAAGACCCUGUUGAGCUUGACUCUAGUCUGACUCUGUGAAGAGACAUGAAAGGUGUAGCAUAGGUGGGAGAUUGUCAAAUUGCCAUCGUUCGCGCGGUGGUCCGGUGAUCGCCAAUGAAAUACCACUACUUUGAUCGUUUCUUUACUUAUUCGGUAAAGCGAAAAAAUUGUGGCCAAUUUGGCGGUGUUUAUGUCGCUGUUGGUCAUUGUUUUCAUGUUAGAUUGAAGCUUUGUUUACAGCCGUCGCUUUGUGUCGCCAUUUGACGCAUUGUUGUACUGGGUUAUCCCGGUGU
rnacentral:rRNA from 1 species